GAGAUUAUUUAAGGCACUUCUUGCUGC
rnacentral:piRNA from 1 species